AACUAUAAAAGUACGCGAUAACUGGUGCUGAGCGAAAUGGCAUCACUGCAGCGAUUGCCUUCCCUCUCUCGCAUUGAACUGCCAUUCAGAUAAACAAAAACGAGAGAAGUGAAUGGAUUAAACAAUUUGCUUGACUAACAGAAAUUCGAGGAAUAAAAUAAUGGGUUGAUUUUAAGGAUAAUAGUACCAUGUACUAUUCCUACGCAAUAGUCCGGAAUAAGUUCCAGUUGUGUUUCCUUGUGUAUAGAACCCGCGAUUAAGUGUGUGUCAAUAGCAACUUGAGCACGCCCCAGUUGUGGAAAAGCUUCUGUUGCUAUUGGUCCAAUUACCGAACCUCAAAUUUGCCGGAGUAGAACCCGUAUCUGUAUUCAACGAUUGUAUUAAACACACUCUUCGCUAAUGCUAUCAACAUCCAGGAUAUGAACAGGAAUAAAUAGGAAUGUUCAGUGAAAACUUGAUUCACCGGUGUGAACCAAAAUGUUCUCUCUAAACGGUGUAGCAUAUAAUUUGUUCAAAAGAAAAUUUUUGUUCGCUCAUUAUAUAGUGCUUUUAUCUAUUAUAACUGUAGUACAGCCUUGUAUUAGUAUUGAUGUAAAUAAACCAGCAUUGUAAAUAAAUUAAAUA